CUGCACUCUGCAUUCUGCAGUCGUGUACAGUGCCACUGUCAAAUCGCAGCAGUUAGUUGAAUCAUGAGGUUCUGACUUCUCAGAGAAAGAGUCGCUAAUUUUAGACCUUUUUAUUUUUUGAGGUUUUGAAUUUUGAUGUGGGCUUAAUUAGCUGGAUUGCCACUUGUGAGGCAUUUCUUAGAAUGUGAUGGGUUUAGUUGGUUCGGGUUGGCGGUUCGUGAGCUUGCUAUUAUUCUUGACGAAUUUUGAUGCUGAAAGACUUGGAAACCAUGCUGUCGACCACGUCGAGAAGCUGAGUAACAUUCUGCUUUUACAAUGGCACCUCUUAAUAAAAGGAACUUAAGCCAUCCAAUCUAGGGCUUCCAUCAAAUCGUGCAGGCUGCAUGGAAGUCGCAAUUGCUGUGAACAUCAUGAACACAUACAUUAUUUGAAGCAGUGGUGUUGCUGUCCAAUGUGGCGUGUUGUUGCAACCUAUGGUGGUGAAAGAUAUCUGCAUCAAGUUGCUGUUCCUUGUGCAUCCCAGGUGCUGGUUUUGUGCUACAGAAGUGACAUCCAAUAUUGUGUUUAAUUGCUAUUUGUGUCUUUGCAGUUUACCUUUAUAUAUUGAGAAGAAACAAAAAAAAAUAGUAAUACGGGGAGGUUUAUGUCAAAAAAAUAAUAAACAUGUCCAGGAUGGGGAAAUAAGGAGGAAGUUGGGGUGGGGUAUUUGGUAUUAUUAAAAGAAGUGAGGUAUAUUUUAAUGAAUAUGCAGUACUUGGUGAUAAAUCUGUUGUUAACCUAUUCCUCACCCACUUCCACUUACACAUCGAUUCCUCAAAUCCCAUAAGCACCAACGUCAAAUCUCAGAUCUACUCACAUCCAUUCCUAAAACCCCACAAUCUCCAACAUCAAAUUCACACAAUUGUUGCAUAACUAUAAUCAUAUUUAUAUUUUAAAAAAUAAAAUGCCCAUAUA